GUCGUGGAGCUGCUGCACCGCCAAGUCGGCCGACAGCGUCUGACAGGAGCACAGAGGAGGUGCUGUGAGGAGCGGAGACGAGCUUCCAUCUAGCUCUUUGUUUGUUGGUUAGCAGGAGGAAGAGGAGCAGGAGGAGUAGGAAGAAGAGGAAGAUGUGGAGAAUAAGGAGGACGAGAAGGAGCCGGAGGAAGAGGAAGAAUAUCUGGAGGAUGAGAUGAUUGCUUCAUGAUUCUCAUCAUCAUCACGCUCAGCCAAACUAACAUCUAACUGCGUAGAUGUUUUCUGAUCUAUACUUACAGGGAAAACAUCAGGAUCGUCAUUGCACAUCUGCAGGAACCUCUCGGGGCGGGCCGACGAGUGCUCCGGACCCUGAGGCGGACAGACAGAACCGCGGUUAUCACUCAUCUGACUGGUUGUGGCGUCGGGGUGAAAGGACCCGCCUCUCCGUGCCCACCAUGCCCUCCAGGCCGUGAGGCAGCAGCAGCACGAUGCCGUUCUGCCGGACCCACUUGGCCUGACCGCAGCUGAUGAACUGGUCGAUGACGCACUGGGCCGUGUUGUGGAAGUCUCCGAACUGGGCCUCCCACAGCACCAGCGCGUUGGGACUGGCCAUGGCGAAGCCCAGCUCAAAACCUGCAGGCGAGAGCGGCGUCAGCGGCGGCCAACAAAUAUCGCCAUCUUAACUUCCUGCUAAUCUCUGUGCGGCUUUAUCGUGCCUCCCUUUAAUAAAUAUAUUGUACCCAACUUCAACAGUCGGGAUCAUAAUCACCAUUAUAA